rnacentral:rRNA from 1 species
ACUUAAAUUGAAGAGUUUGAUCAUGGCUCAGAUUGAACGCUGGCGGCAGGCCUAACACAUGCAAGUCGAACGGUAGCACAGAGAGCUUGCUCUCGGGUGACGAGUGGCGGACGGGUGAGUAAUGUCUGGGAAACUGCCUGAUGGAGGGGGAUAACUACUGGAAACGGUGGCUAAUACCGCAUAACGUCGCAAGACCAAAGAGGGGGACCUUCGGGCCUCUUGCCAUCAGAUGUGCCCAGAUGGGAUUAGCUGGUUGGUGAGGUAACGGCUCACCAAGGCGACGAUCCCUAGCUGGUCUGAGAGGAUGACCAGCCACACUGGAACUGAGACACGGUCCAGACUCCUACGGGAGGCAGCAGUGGGGAAUAUUGCACAAUGGGCGCAAGCCUGAUGCAGCCAUGCCGCGUGUAUGAAGAAGGCCUUCGGGUUGUAAAGUACUUUCAGCGGGGAGGAAGGUGUUGUGGUUAAUAACCGCAGCAAUUGACGUUACCCGCAGAAGAAGCACCGGCUAACUCCGUGCCAGCAGCCGCGGUAAUACGGAGGGUGCAAGCGUUAAUCGGAAUUACUGGGCGUAAAGCGCACGCAGGC